rnacentral:rRNA from 1 species
GCUUAACACAUGCAAGUCGAACGGUGAACCAGAGCUUGCUCUGGGGAUCAGUGGCGAACGGGUGAGUAACACGUGGGCAACCUGCCCCAGACUCUGGGAUAACCUCGGGAAACCGAUGCUAAUACCGGAUACGACCACUUCGGACAUCCGACGGUGGUGGAAAGUUUUUCGGUCUGGGAUGGGCCCGCGGCCUAUCAGCUAGUUGGUGGGGUAAUGGCCUACCAAGGCGACGACGGGUAGCCGGCCUGAGAGGGCGACCGGCCACACUGGAACUGAGACACGGUCCAGACUCCUACGGGAGGCAGCAGUGGGGAAUAUUGCACAAUGGGCGAAAGCCUGAUGCAGCGACGCCGCGUGAGGGACGACGGCCUUCGGGUUGUAAACCUCUUUCAGCAGGGACGAAGCGAAAGUGACUGUACCUGCAGAAGAAGCACCGGCUAACUACGUG